rnacentral:misc_RNA from 1 species
UGUCGCCCGCCUUUCUCCUGUAGAUGACUAGAGGUGCUAGGGCUAGAGCUUGGUGAGCCUAAAGCUUGAGGUGUGCUUGAAGCAUGCCUUUAAUAACUAUGUUUGGGCCCAUGAACCACUGACUGAUUCCAGUCCCAGGCUUGGCUAGGUUGGUUCCGGUCCAGUUAUGUGUCUAACCCGGACUAAUGUGCUGAACUGUCGGUUCCAGUCUGGUUCAAGGUUCAAGACGAAUUUGGUCCGCUUUGGACCCAUGAACCAUUGACUGAUUCUGGUCCCGAGCUUCAUCAGGCUGGUUCUGGUCCAGUUAUAUGUCUAAUUCGGAUGGCCUGGUCUGGCUCUCACUAAUUCAUGUACCGCUAGAGUUCAACUUUUCCCUAAAGCAUCCACAUAUCUAUGUCAGAUAUGGCUAAACUAUUUCAGAUAGACUGCAACUCAACUUGUACUCCAGUAGUGCUACCUUUCAUUUCUUGAAGUGGUGACACAUCUGCCUUUCUAUAAAUGCACUUUUUCCUGUUUUGGUCCUUGUAUUUUCUCAAAUCCACCUUAGAUAUUUUUUUUUUUAGCUAUACUAAUUUUAUGGAUGUUAUUUUUUCUACUGCCAAAUACUCAAUUAAAGAGUAUAGCUGGCUUAAUUUUAUCAGUAUCUUUUAUGGAAUUUACCUUUCAGCCUAACAUAAACUUUAUUGCCGCAUAGCAUUCUGUCUGUACUCCAUUUUAUCUCACCUUGAUCUAACUGCAACAAUUUAUUAUUUUUUGGUUGGAUAUUUGUGCUGUUUCUAAGUUGAUGUUAAAGCUGUUCUUGGGUUUUAUUUGAUCAGUGGUUUGGGCCUCAUAUGUUGCUUGCUGAUUUAGAAAUUUCUCAUUGAAAUUUAUAAUCUAUAUGAAGAUAAAACAGUGUUAGGCAUUUCUGAAUUUUGCGUAUUCAUGUUUUCUGUUGUAAUUGUUUGCUAGAAUAUGUGGAUGGCAUCUUUAUGCGUAUGUGUUGUACAGGUGCACUAUUGUUUUUUGCUUUGCUGGGGCUGUCUGGGUGCUUCAUUACUUGUUAUGAUCGAAGAGUUCGCAAUGAUUUGGCUCAGCCUUGCCGAGAAUUAUGUCUUUGUUGCUGUCAGCCUGGAAUGUGUGCAGACUGCCAUUUACCUGGCACUCUUUGUAUGUGGACUGACUGUACCACUUGCUUUGAAAGCUGUGCAAGUGCUGCUGGUGAAUGUGGUUGCUUGGGAGGUGCUGGUGAAGCAGGGCUGCCAUUGUUAUUUAUAAUGGCUUUGAUUGUUCUGGGACUAUUUACGGUGAUAGGCAUAUUCUAUAGUGUUUUAGUAGCUACUAUGGUUGGACAGCGAAUUUGGCAACGGCAUUAUCACAUACUUGCAAAGAGGAUGCUCACAAAAGAAUAUGUUGUCGAGGAUGUCGAUGGUGAGAUGACGGGAUCUGAUUGGUCUCCUCCGCCACUUCCGCCUGAGCAUGUUCAGCAGCUGAAAAAUCUGGGUCUGUUAUGAGUAAAGGAGGCGACAUCAUUUAUCACAGCACAGGAAUAACAUACUCUAGAGAUGGACUGGUACUCUAUUUUGGUAGGUCAGUCUGUACCGCGAGCCUUUGGACUUUAUUUAGUGCAAAAUACCUAGGUAAGAAAAUAUCAAAGGCGCUUUGAUGUUCUUCAAAUUACAUUUACAAAUUUGUAAAGGAUAAUUUGUGAAAACUGAAACAAGGUGUCCUGAAAUUAACUAACAAAACAUGUUUCUUCAUCUAUUUCAUGUCUGUAACCUAUCAAAGAAGAAAAAAAGAAAAAUCAUUCUGUAUUAUUAUAUUUGUUUAUAGCAUUAAGCAUUACUUGUAAGAAUUUGUUUGGUAUUCUGAAAUCUUUUUCUUUAAUUAUGUAUU